AUGCAGUGGUCCCCAAACCCGGACAGCAAACCGGUUCUGGUAUCGAUCUGCAGAGAAAAAAACAAGACUUUCCUUUUUUCUGUUGUAUUUCUAGUCAAAUUCUGAAGGAAGUUUUAUUUUGAAAAACUACUGGAUUCUCUCCUCCACAUCCGGUCAUUCUUGAUGCUUGUGGAGGUUCUGUGUUGAAAAUCCAUCCACUACUUUCUAAAAAGUUGGACGAGGCUGAAGUUGGUGUCUGAUUUGUUUCUCUUCCACUUUGACAGUUUUGGGUUUAAGGAAAAAUCUGGAUCACAUUUGAAUGUUUCCUGCAUGAAACAUAGAAAACAAAUCAAGUUUAAACCAUCUGCAGAUAUUUGACAGAGGAUGAAGAUGAACUUUAGCCUCCAAAGUUAAACUGGAAGCUACAAAAAUCAGACGCCAACUUCAUCCUGGCACAGGCCGGUCCGUGAAAAUAUUGUCUGACAUUAAACCGGUUCAGAUGAAUGUUUUUAUUUUCAUUUAAUGAAAGCAUUAAAAUAUGCUGACUCAUCAGAGCUGCUGCUCCGUCUCUACAGGUGAAGGUUCAAGCAGCCACAUGGGGGCGCUAGAGACCUGCUACUGUGACAACCUCAGCAUCAUCACUCUUCCUCCUCUCAGCGUCUCCAUCUGCUUCCCUGCAUUGAUCUCCAACAUCUCCAUGAUCUGUUCCUCUGAUGGAUGGACUCCUUCCUGGUCUUCUUCUCCGUGGUUCUGGACUGUGAAUGAGUUCCUCCUUAAAUGAAGCGUCCCUCUGGUUCUGGUCCAACCUUAGAAGGUGUUUCCUCAGCUCUGACUGAAGGUUGAAGGUUGAAGCUGCAGCUUCUGAACUCCUUUCUCCUGAAGGUCCUGCUGCUGCUGGAAGAAUCUUCUCAGACUGAGUCCUACAGGGAUGGAGCUCCACGCUAGAACCAUCAGAAAUGACAUCAUCAGACAUCUUCAUGUUUUUCUGGACAGAAGUUUGUGGGUUUCAGUUGGACUUCAUGCCUGAGAGCUCCUUCAUCUGCCCACUGGAUGUUCAGCUCCUCAGUUUCCUCCAAACAGCAGGUUGAAGUUGACGGUUGGGAUCCGUCUGACUUUGCUGCAGUCGUCUCCUGGAUUUCAGGAGCUUUGUUUCUGUUCUGCUCAAAUCCCAGCAGAGGCUCUGCUGCUGGUUCCAGAAAACCAACUGGAAAUGAAAGCUGAAGGUUUUUCCAGGACGGACUCUGGAAUGAUGGAAGUGGAGACACUUUUCUGGUGUCUAGUGUGACAUCGUCCUCUUUUGGAACACCAGAAGACCCAAUCAAAGCUCCAACAUCUUCCUGACAGUAUUUCUGACAGAAGAUCAAAGCAGAAAGAUGGAAGUGGUUUCCAUGGAAACGUCUGUCAGCUGCUCCUCCAUCCAGAGGAAAUGUAAACCAGAUAGAGCAGCAUCUUCUCAGGAAAAAAGAUCCAGACCAUUAAAACAUGAGGAUUCAUCUUUUUAUUGAUUUCACAGUUUUACCUUCACAGUUGUUUUUAUGCUGUGACAUUUCUCUCUUAAAUCCAGUGGUGGAUCGUACAUUACACACCUGGGCCUUCAGUAGAGCUACGUCCGAAUCAUUUAACCCUUCAUGAAACAUUUUUAUUUCUCUAAAUAAACUGGAUUAACAAAACUGUAAAGAAAUCUCACCAUGCAACUACAACCAGCACAAACACAUUGAAAACAAUCACAUACAUUAUGAAUAUUAUUUAUUAUGGUAUUUAUCAUAAUAAAUGCCUUCACUUGGGUUUUCACCUUAAACCUAACUAAAUCCUCCAUGGAGUACAUCACAGUCAGUCUGUUUAACCGAUCCAGAAGUUCUCUGUGGAUCUGUGUCAAACUGGACGAGGCUGCAUGUGACUUCCUGAAACUACUGUCCAAUCAGAAGGUCUGAAAAGUGGGACAUUGCCUUGGCCUGCUAGAAGGCCCUGCUGACACCAUCUCAAAAUCUGAUUGGUUGAAAGAAAUGAAUGACCAACAUUGAUUUCGCAUCACAGGACCUUCAGAACAGAGAUUGAAGGCUCUUACCCUGCCUGGCAAAAAAGUACAGCUGAAAUGCGAUUGGUUAAAUAGUCCAAUGCAAAAAUACGUCUGUCUGGAAGCAGCAUAACCGUCAUAAACACAAUAAAAGGGAAUGGACGGACCAUUUGGGAUGAUUGAAUGAGUAUGCAUGGACAAAAUAUUAUUACUACAUGUGUUAGGGUUACGUAAUUAUCGUUUUCUUACACGCUAAUCACAGUAAUAUUAUGGUCUCAAUUCUAUCUUUGAGUAAGAAAACAAUGACGUGGGAAGCCAGAACUCCUCUGUGACAGACAAGCUUCUCCUUCUGCAAAGUCUAGCAAAAAUUCUCAUCUCCUGUGUGGUUCCUCUCUUUGUUAGGGAAAAGUCAGAACACUGACAACAUGAUUCAGUUAUUUUUUAGGCCUUCAGAGGUUUUGAAGGCCCUGACGGCCCACAACACAUUGAUUAAAUACAUAAAUGUAAAAGUUUUGAACUGUGCGGUUUGCAUUUAUUUGUUGCAGAGGUAAUAAGAGUCUAGAUAUAAGAGCAGCUUCAGGAAAAUAUCACCAAAAAAAUCACAGCUAAGUGAGCAAAAUCCUUCCUAUUAUAAUAAAUAUCAGGGACGGGUUAUUCUUUCAGACAACACAAUA